ACCGGCAGCCAUAUCACCCUGUAGCCCAAGCCUGGUUGCCCACUGAAGCUAAGCAGGGCUGAGCCUGGUCAGUACCUGGAUGGGAGACCUCCUUGGAAAACAAGGUUGCUGCUGGAA
ensembl:rRNA 5S_rRNA 5S ribosomal RNA